rnacentral:rRNA from 1 species
GAUGAACGCUGGCGGCGUGCCUAAUACAUGCAAGUCGAGCGAACGGACGAUAAGCUUGCUUCUCUGAUGUUAGCGGCGGACGGGUGAGUAACACGUGGAUAACCUACCUAUAAGACUCGGAUAACUUCGGGAGACCGGAGCUAAUACCGGAUAAUAUUUUAAACCACAACGUUCAAAAGUGAAAGACGGUCUUGCUGUCACUUAUAAAUGUAUCCGCGCUGCAUUAGCUAGUUGGUAAGGUAAAGGCUUACCAAGGCAACGAUGCAUAGCCGACGUGAGAGGGUGAUCGGCCACACUGGAACUGAGACACGGUCCAGACUCCUACGGGAGGCAGCAGUAGGGAAUCUUCCGCAAUGGGCGAAAGCCUGACGGAGCAACGCCGCGUGAGUGAUGAAGGUCUUCGGAUCGUAAGACCCUGUUAUUAGGGAAGAAAGUAUGUGUAAGUAACUGUGCACAUCUCGACGGUACCUAAUCAGAAAGCCACGGCUAACUACGUG